GCCAUGGAGGGCAUGGACGUGGACCUGGACCCCGAGCUGAUGCAGAAGUUCAGCUGCCUGGGCACCACCGACAAGGACGUGCUCAUCUCUGAGUUCCAGCGGCUGCUCGGCUUCCAGCUCAACCCUGCCGGCUGCGCCUUCUUCCUGGACAUGACCAACUGGAACUUACAAGCAGCAAUUGGCGCCUAUUAUGAUUUUGAAAGCCCAAACAUCAGUGUGCCCUCUAUGUCCUUUGUUGAAGAUGUCACCAUAGGAGAAGGGGAGUCAAUACCUCCCGAUACUCAGUUUGUAAAAACAUGGCGGAUCCAGAAUUCUGGAGCAGAAGUCUGGCCUCCAGGGGUUUGUCUUAAAUAUGUCGGGGGAGACCAAUUUGGACAUGUGAACAUGGUGAUGGUGAGAUCCCUAGAGCCCCAAGAGAUUGCAGAUGUCAGCGUCCAGAUGUGCAGCCCCAGCAGAGCAGGAAUGUAUCAGGGACAGUGGCGGAUGUGCACUGCUACCGGACUCUACUAUGGAGAUGUCAUCUGGGUGAUUCUCAGUGUGGAGGUGGGUGGACUUUUAGGAGUAACACAGCAGCUGUCAUCUUUUGAAACGGAGUUCAACACACAGCCGCAUCGCAAGGUAGAAGGAAACUUCAACCCAUUUGCCUCUCCCCAAAAGAACCGACAAUCAGAUGAAAACAACUUAAAAGACCCUGGGGGUUCCGGGUUCGACUCGAUCAGCAAAAACACAUGGGCUCCUGCUCCUGACCAAACCGAGCAAGAUCAGGACAGACUCUCACAGAACUCUGUAAAUCUGUCCCCCAGCAGUCACGCAAACAACUUAUCAGUAGUGACUUACAGUAAGAUCCUUUCCUGAAAGGUUUAAAGGUGGUCCACUGAGAAGAUGGAAGGAAAACUUACAUCACUUGAUAUUUUAUCCAGCCUGUGCUCUCUUUCAGCAAGGAACAGGGGCUCCAUGGGCCUUACCCCUUCGGCCAGUCUUAAACGGGUGUCAGCAAGAAGAAAAAUUAACAGAAGGCCCGACUUUGGGGGGAGGGCAGGGGGUUCCUCUGGAUUGCAGACCACGCCGCACGGACCCUGCUCUGCCUCCCAUCCCAGAAGAGGAGGAAGCAGCAGAACAGACUGGUUGGAGUGGACUCAGUGUGCAUGUGUGAAUGCCGAUCGCAGGGAUGGUCUUGAGGCUACCAAGAAAUCCAUGCAGCCACCUUGGGUUUUGUUCCUUAGUUGUCAGUCUGAGUCAUUGGGUCCCUCGGGAAAGGAAAAAAAGUUUUAAAUGGGGGAAAAUAAGCCAUCUUUGUAAACAAAAAUGAUUUUGCCUACAGAGGUUGUAGUUCUGAGCACGUUAAUUUUUCCUCUCCUCCCCCUGUUAUUUUUUAAUGAGGGCAGGAUACUCUAGAACACUGCUUGCUCUGGAAGCAGUCGGCAUGGCGUGCGGGCUUCUGUGGGUCGGUGCCGUGCCACAUGCCGCCAGAAGGCUGGACCCGUUUGUCCCUAAAGGCAUCAGCCAGUGAGUUCACCCUUUCUUCCCUUUAAUCCUCUGUUGAUUUACACCUUUGACAUUUGUAUGUGUUGGCCCUGUGGCUUGUUAACCUCUCUGAAGACCAGGCUUCCCUGUGCGGCACAGAGGGAGCCUUGAGGACAGGUCUCGGUAAUGGGUUUCUGAGGCAGAGAGGCGCCUUCUGCACAUGCCCAUCGCAUUCCGAUUGCUCUCCUUGCGCAUCUCUCAAGCCGAGGGAAACGCUGCUUACUGUGCUCCCCGCUCUGCACAGCUCCCAGGUGCCCCGGGGGUGGUGCUGCCACACUGCACACCCAGCCUCCGCACUGGGAGGUGGCCGCAGCUCACUUCCAGCGUGCAGCAGGCGGGCCAGUGAGAGGUAUCCCAUGCUUCUUUCUCUGCUGUCACACUACUCCUGCCCUCUCUUUCCCUGCAGUCGUCCUUUGUGGUGUUUUCACAGCCUGUCAGUGGAGGCUGAUUUAUAGAUACGGAGAUACAGCCCCAAGCCUGGAAUUGGUCAUGGGGAAGGCCACGGUCACCACUGGGCCUUGGAGACCACAUUUAGAUGGAGGCAAGACCCCACCCCAGCAGGACGCCCAGGCUUUGGUGGAGAGGUGGGCAAGGGCAGCCCCACUGGAGCAGGGGCUCACUGCUCUCGGGCAGCAGGUCGAGGUGUGGACGCCUCCAUGGGAAGCUUGAACCAGGAUAGAACAGCUGUCUGCCAAAGAUACAAGAUAUGCAAAGUCCCUCUUUUCUUCUUGCCAGGGGUGUGGCUCAGGGGUGCGGUCCAGGGGCCCCUGCCUGUGACCACACCCCCAUCUGCACUGGGGGUGGGUGGGUGAGAAAAGCAGGGCGUCCAGGGGAUGAGGGGCUGCAAGGGUCCUGUAGCCUGGGUGUGGGUGAGGGUCUGCCUGUCUGUCUGUUUGGGUGUCUGAGUUCCAAAAGAUGUAUGUUGUGUUCCUCCUCAUCUCCUCUGAGACUGUUUUUAAAUGUUUGAUUGUAGGUGAGAACCUUGUAUGAAUUCCCCCUUCACUUCUCCACUCCCAGAAAACAAAAGGGGAAUAAACUUAGUUCGCUCCAGAAGCCUUGGACAAGAAUGGAGUCUGCCACGGAGAAAGGCCUGCGGCUGGGGCUGGACUGGGGCUUCCCUGGAGCACCUAUUUUCUAUGCACACAGUACCCCAUUCCUAGCAGAGCCGAGGGGAGCUUUCUGGGUGCUGCACCACAGGUCUCAGGGUGGCUUUUUGUUUCAAAGUCCCUUUAGACCCAUUUUGCUGCUGCUGCUGCUGCUCCUGGUGCCAAUCCCCUAGGACACUGCCACUUGGAAUGCACAUGUGGCCCCUCUUCUGCUUGCUAGCCUUGAAGCAGUGCCAUCUCCAGCUGCCCCUGGCAGAAUCCUGGGCGGCUUUCCACCCCACUUUCCUGCCUUCCCUGUCUGGCCCACACUGGUGCCCUAACCUGGGUUCCCAGCAAGGGCUUCAUUGGCCCUUGCUGCCAGACCUUCAGGCCGGACCUGCCAGAGUUGUCCUGCUCCUCUUGCUUGUAGGCAGCCUCACCUGGCGUCCCAGGUACCGUGCUUCCUUCCCGGAGACAUCUCUGCACAUCUGUGGAGAGUUGUUGCUGCAGGGGGCCAGAGCAGGCGCAAGCUUUGACCGAUCGAUGGCUUCGCCAGGGCUGGAGGAGGGCGUUGGCACCGUUAAUUCUUUCUCCCUUGUAGGGUCUGAGCAGUGCCUGGCGCCCCUUCCUCCCCUGUCUAGUGGAGUGGUAGAGGCCACCUCUGAGCCCCAGUAGUCCCUGCUCCCCAGAAUGCUCAUGCGCAGCAGGCCACGUCUGGGCAGAACCCCCAGCAUCUGGCACCCUGGAGGUGAGCCAGGCACCGUCCUUGGGUGACAGGGCCUAAACCGAGUUGGGAGAUGGAGGAGUGCAGUCCAGGGAAGAUCCUGUCUGUGUGCACGGAGUGUGGGGUGUGUGUGUGGAUGUGUGUGCACGUGUGCAUGCCAGUUUUCUUUUUGGUGUGGGACGGUUGAAUUUGGGGCGUUUUCCUGUAAGAAACAGUUUCUCUCUCCUAGCAAGGACUGGCUGUAGCCUACACCUGUCAAAGGCACAUCGUGCCCAGAGAGAACUCACUGAGCAGGCUGGUGGCCUGAAGGCUGCCCAGGUGGGAAGUGGGUGAGAGAAUGAACCCUCCCCAAAUUCAGUCUGAGCCCCAGCAGGAGGGCCAGGCAGGGUUGCUAGGGCUCAGGCACAGCUGAUCCCACCCCGCCUGCCAUGUGUCACCUUCCUUCCUUCCCUUUGUCCUGUGGUUGCGUGCGGGCAUGGUAGUGCUGCCCCUUCCACCUGGACAGCGGUGUGUGUGGCAAGCUAGCUGGUGGGUGCCUGUGGUGGGGCCUCAUGGUGCCUAGGAGGAGAUGAAGAUGAGGUUUUCCUUACUGUGUAAAUGAAUAUUUGUAUGAUUAAAUUAACACACACAAAAA